UGUUCAAUCUCGUAAGAGAGCAGGAAAAACUCUUGAAUUUUUGGUUCGCCUGCCAUAGUUGUACAUUACCUAAGUACUAUGCUUUUGUGCACAAAAAUUAUAAACAACAUUAAACUGCUAAAAGAUUAAAAAAUUAAGAAGGUUAACAAUGGAGUACUCAAUUUAUAUGAUCGAAAAAAAUAAGUAAAUUCAAAUGAAGCAUGAAAGCCGGGAACGAAGGAUGGUAUGAACAGACAUACCUUACAAAUGAGAAGAAGAACAAUUAACUUAAAGGCUCAGUUGCAAGCAAUGAAACUGCAGUACAUAUGGCUUGAAGCAUUAAAAGAGAUAUAAUAACAAACCAAAGAGAAGAAAAAAAGCACAAGAAAAUGUUAUAAAGCUGUAACUACAUGAAGAAAUUCCAGUAGCAGUAUAUAUAUGCCAUAUAUACUAUGGUGAUACUGGCACUAUGAUUUGGUUGAGAAACUUUCUAAGAAAGUGGUUAGAGGUGAAAACCUCUAUUGAUUUCUUCUUUGUCUGUAAACCUCAAUAAGUUGAGCAUCUAUAGUCCUCACCAGCACAUUUCAUGUCUGUUUAUAUCAUCUUAUUUGCACUUGCUUGCUUCUCAAAUUCAAUACUAUAUUUUGAUGAAUUUAACAUUUGGUUAUACAUACGUCAAAGUUUUUAGAGAUUAAAUAGCAAAGAUACAUUAUAGGCGAUUAUUUUGCAUAUCCCCUUCAUUUGAUGAUCAUAUUUUGGUGGGGGGUUUUUUCAUGAUCACUACAUUGUUGAACCAAUGUUAUAUGCAUAUGUCGCUUCAAAUAGAAAACAAUAACGUAGAGAAGAUUGAAAAUUAUGACCUAAACUAUAACAUUAAUUGAAAGACAUUGUUGUCGAAUCCUAACACCCUAGUGAUAUAAUAGGGGAAUAUAUGAUAAUAGUAGUUCAAAAUAUUUAGACCAGUAUAUCUGAACUGCGCGAAAAUCUGAGUGGCGAAGAAUAUUAGAAAAGUACCUCAAUCUCGUAAUGGCAUUUUCUGUUCGUAUUCCUUGUACGUCAACACCUAUAUUUGUUGAGCGGACAAGUUUAUUUGUCCUCGUAUUCCUUGUGCGUCCACACCUAUAUUAAUUGAGCGCACAGACUCUAGGUGCAUCAAACAUAAUUUUUUUUAAAAUACAAUUAGAUUAAUCAAAUAAACCAUGAGAAUAACUGGUAAGCAUAAUCGGAAAAAAUUCUUUGAAAAGGAUUACAUACCGAAAUUUGUUGGGUGCACCGAAGCAGUUUGUGAUUCCUGAUUUUGUUUUUCGUCGAAUAGUUCAUGAUUUGUAAAGUAAGUAUGCCGUGGGUAAAUAAUGAAUACAUUAUCAGGGAAUUAGAGAUAUUGUUUCAAAUAAAAACUAUAGAACAAAGAAGGUAGAGAGGGCGAUUGAAAAGAUGGAGAAGCACAGGGAAAUUGGAAGAUAUAGAAGGGGAGUAAUUAGGGGAAAAGGGAGUAACAAAUCGUUGCCAUACAACCGUUGUGAGAGAAUGUUGAGUAGAUGGGGAAGUACUGAUAAUUUGCAAGAGAUUACAGAACCGGUGUUCAUGUGAAGCG
rnacentral:lncRNA from 1 species